UCUCUGAAUCUGCGAACGGCUCCGCAAACCAGUUGUAAACAUAGGCAAGUCCCGCUCUUGAUUGGCCCUUUCGGGGGCUGGUCCUGGGCAUUUAUAUGGAUACCCGUGGUAAUUCUGAGGCUAAUACAUGACAAUAAUACCCUGCCGUCAGUCUGCCGGUGCCCCUCGGGGUGCCGGAUGUGAUGGAUGGCGGGGGACGCGCGACAUAUGGCUGGGUAACUCGGGAAAGAACGCGCGUUCGGACCACCGCUUGCGGGCCUUGCGUAGGAAGGGUGCGGCUUGCCGUGCUUGGACUUGCUUGGCCUGGUGGCUCUUGCUGCGUGCUUCUGACCUAUCAACUAGAUGGCAGCAUAAGGGACAUGCCAUGGUGACAACGGGUACAGAGGAUCAGGGUUCGAUCCUGGAGAGUGGGCCUGAGAGAUUGCUCAUACUUCUAAGGAAGGCAGCAGGCGCGCAACGUUCCCAAUGGACAACGUCUGAGGGCGUUAGGGGACAUAUGAAUGGCUGCACUAGUUGUGGCCAAUUCAAAUGGGUUUGUCGUAAACAGACUCUCGAGUAACAAUUAGAGGACAAGUCUGGUGCCAGCACCCGCGAAGACCAACUGGAAUCCGUGGGGAAAGUGAGAUGAAAGUCAUAGCUACGUCGAGCCCACCAGCGCAUGUGUGGGAGUCACCUCGGCAACAUUGCCAAAUUGCGGGAAGUUCCUAAAACCGUUCGUAACCAAGUGCACGCCUAAAGGCGAAAAGAUUGUCGGCGCUAAUACCUCUGUUGAGUGGGGGAGUUUGACAUGCAUGGCCAGGGUAAUGACCUCGGGUAUGGUAAUAUCACGACGGAUGAUGAUCCAGAGGGUUGGCGACCCUUUGUUUCCUUGAAAUGGAUAAUCCGCAGCCAAGUCCUAACCACGGGCGCUCAGCUUACCUCACCUCGGUGAGAGUGAAAUGGCUGCAGCCACCAACGCCAACCUCAGCUUCCUUUGGGAGGAUGAGAGUGAACCGGCGGAAGUAACCCGUGAAUGGAUGCAGUUCAACGACUAAAUGGUAAUGGGCGCGACAUUGUACCUGGCGAGUGCAGUGGAGCGCAUAAGAUAUAGUCUGCCCUGUGCGAAAGCAUGCCUAGCUGACGAAGGGGAUUCAUGCACCCCCCGAGCAGCAGGACCAGCCCGGCGUGGGUUAGGUGGGAGUAUCGGUAAUUCCAGCUCUAAUAGCAUACGUUAAAGUUGUUGCAGUUAAAACGCUCGUAGUCGGCUUCAGGCCGCCAGAAUCUGGCGUCGAGUGCACGGGUCUGUGUUCCUCCGGGAACGCGCCGGGCGCGAGGCAAAGGUGGACGGCGGUCAAUAGUGCUCGUCCGCGUGCCCCUCUCGGGGGGCUUACAGGGUCGUUGAACGUUCUUGGGUGACGCCUGGCUUCGGCUGGGCUAGUCCUUGGGCUAAGGCGGUCUGGCGGCGGGUGCCAUUUGCCAUGAUUAAACUGGGGUGAUUAAAGCAGGCCAUUCGGCCAUUGAACAGAUCAGCAUGGCAUAAGCAUAGGUUUGCCCAUUCCCAUGGCCGGGGGGGCAGGCCGACUGCUGCAAAAGGAGUGUUCGGGGGUGACCGAAUUGCCGGGCGAGUGGUGAAAUACGUUGACCCUGGCAAGUCGACCAAAAGCGAAAGCAGUCAUCAAGGGCACAUCCAUUGAUCAAGAGCGAAAGUUAAGGGUUCGAAAACGAUCAGAUACCGUUGUAGUCUUAACUAUAAAUGAUACUGGCCAGGGAUAGGGCAGUGUCCAU
rnacentral:rRNA from 1 species